GCCAUGGGGUAGCUCAGUUGGUUAGAGCACAGUGCUUAUAACCCCAAGGUUGCAGGUUCGAUCCCCCAGCUGGACA